UAAGGGCGCACGGUGGAUGCCUUGGCACUAGAAGCCGAUGAAGGACGUUACUAACGACGAUAUGCUUUGGGGAGCUGUAAGUAAGCUUUGAUCCAGAGAUUUCCGAAUGGGGAAACCCAGCAUGAGUUAUGUCAUGUUAUCGAUAUGUGAAUACAUAGCAUAUCAGAAGGCACACCCGGAGAACUGAAACAUCUUAGUACCCGGAGGAAGAGAAAGAAAAUUCGAUUCCCUUAGUAGCGGCGAGCGAAACGGGAAGAGCCCAAACCAACAAGCUUGCUUGUUGGGGUUGUAGGACACUCUAUACGGAGUUACAAAGGACGACAUUAGACGAAUCAUCUGGAAAGAUGAAUCAAAGAAGGUAAUAAUCCUGUAGUCGAAAAUGUUGUCUCUCUUGAGUGGAUCCUGAGUACGACGGAGCACGUGAAAUUCCGUCGGAAUCUGGGAGGACCAUCUCCUAAGGCUAAAUACUCUCUAGUGACCGAUAGUGAACCAGUACCGUGAGGGAAAGGUGAAAAGCACCCCGGAAGGGGAGUGAAAUAGAACCUGAAACCGUGUGCUUACAAGUAGUCAGAGCCCGUUAAUGGGUGAUGGCGUGCCUUUUGUAGAAUGAACCGGCGAGUUACGAUUUGAUGCAAGGUUAAGCAGUAAAUGUGGAGCCGUAGCGAAAGCGAGUCUGAA
rnacentral:rRNA from 1 species